AUAGAUGACAAUUUAGUAAAAACAUCAAAGUAAUUUAAAGGAAUUAUUAAGGAUAACUAGCAAAUUUAUUAAAAAGGAGGUAAAACCAAAAGCCACAAACUCAUUAUUAAUAAAUAAUAAUAGUAAAAAAAUUGUGGCGAUCCUAAGGGAAACCUUAAUAUAAAUACUUCCUGAAGCAAAACAUUGUAUUAAGGAAAGGAAAGGAAAUCAACCGAGACUCCAAAAGUAAUGGUGAGUGAAAUUGGAAUAGCCAAAAAUAAAAUUAAAAUUUGAAAAAUAAAACUAAAUUAUAAUUAAUGAAGUUGGAAUAUCAAUAAUUAUAAUUAAAAAUUUAUAUUAUAAUUAUUAAAAUAAUAAUUACCAAAGAAGGUAUUUAGUCCUGUAAAUAUAAUAUUUUAUUUAAAAAUAAGUAUGAUGAGAGUAAACUUGUCAGAAUAUAGGGGUACCAUCCUCUAAGGCUAAGUAUAAUAAAUUUAGCGAUAGUGAAAAGUACUGUAAAGGAAAAGUUGAAAAAGUUUGUUAUAUAACAAAAUGAAAUAGUCUUGAAUUAGUAAUUCUAUAAGCAGUCGAAGUUUUAAUUUAAAAAUGACGGCGUACCUUUUGCAUAAUGGGUCAGUAAGUUAAUGAUAGUAGCAAGGUUUAUUAGCCUUAGCGAAAGCGACUAAAUUUUAAAAUAAUAAAUUUAUUAAAUAAAUGGUUUAUAAUAAUUUUGGGACAGUUACUAUUAUUAGACCCGAAGCCAGUUGAUCUUUCCAAAACCAGAUUAUAAUGGAUCGAACGGUUGAAUGUUGCAAUAUUCUCCGAAGAGUUUUGGAAAGCGGUGAAAUACUAAUCUGAACUGGUGAUAGCUGGUUUUCUACGAAACAUAUUUAAGUAUGACAUCUAUUAAUAAAUUUAUGAAGGUACAGCACGGUAGUUCCCAACUAAUAUAAAAUUAUUUAAUUAAACAUUAAAUAAAUUUUAAUAUGUUUAGGUUGAGGGGAAACAAAAAUCUUACCAAUGGAAACGAAACUCGGAAUAACAUAAAUCGAUAAUAGAUAUUCAGACUAUUCAUGAUAAGUUGGAUAGUCAAGACGGAAACAGCCGAUAACAAGGAUCAAGGUCCCUAAUGAUUAUUAAGUGAAAAUAAGGAAGUAAUAGAUUGAAUGCAGCUGUAAAGUGAGCCUGGUAGUCGCUAUCUUUUAAUGACCGUUGUAACAACGUAGCAGCCUUUAGACUUUUGCGCCGAAAAUUUAACGGGUCUAAAAUAAUCAACCGAUAUCUUGUUAAUUAUAAAUAUAAAAAUUUAUAUUUCUAAAUUAGGUAGUAGAACAUUCAACAUAAUUGAUGAUAAACAGUGUUUCAUUGUUUGUAAAAAAUUGAAGAGAUAAUGCUGACAUGAGUAACGUAAAAAGAAGUUAUAAUACUUCUCGCUGAUUACGAAAGGGUUAUAAGGAAAGGUUGAACCACCUUAUGUGAAUGCGGCCUCUAAGGUUAAAAACCAAAGUUUUGACUGAUGAGUAAUAUAUUGAAAAUCUAUAUGGUAAAUUUAAAUAGAUCAGGAAAAUAAAAUAUAUAUCUUAUUUUUUUUUUUAUUUUAAUUUAAAAAUAAAUAAAUUAAACUACCGUACCCUAAACCGACACAGGUUCGUAAGUAAAGUAUACUAAGGCGUAGAGCUAAAAGUUGUUAAGGAACUCGGCAAGUUGUUCUCAUAAGUUUGACAAUAAGAGAAACCAUAUAAAAUUAAAUUAGCCAUAAUUUAAAUUAUUAUAUGGUAUAAUAAAAUCGGAGGCCACGACUGUUUACUAAAAACACAAUUCAGAGCAAUAAUUAAGAUAAUAGUAUUCUGAAUGAAAUUUGCCCAAUGCCAUUAAUAUAAAAGAGGUAAUUUUAAAGUUACUAAUUGAAAGUCUGGUUAAUAGCGGUCUUAACUAUGAGGAUCCUAAGGUAGCAAAAUAAAUUGGCCAUUAAAUGUGGUCUAGUAUCAAUAAUGUAACGAUGGUCUCACUGUCUCUACAACUUGCUCAGUGAAAUUGAAUUGCGAGUGCAGAUGCUCGCUUUCUUCAGAGGGACGGGAAGACCCUAUGCAGCUUUACUGUAAUUAGUUAUUGCAUUGAUUUAAACCUAAUUAAUAGUAAUUAGGGAUGUCGAUAGACUAAUUUUGGAAAACCUUAGAAUUAGAGUUAAAUCUUUGUUUACCUUAUAAAUUGAAAUUUAAGGGAUAAAUGACUAAUUGGCAGUUUGACUGGGGCGGUCGUCUUUAAAAAAGUAGCAAAGUACAUCCAAAGAUUUUUCUUUUUUUUUUAAUUAUUAUAAUUUAAUUAAUUAAAUAUAAUAAACAGACAAAAUUAUUAAUUCUAUAGUAUACACAAAGAAUUAAAUUAAAAUAAAAUUUUUAUUAUUAUAAGGUAUAGCUAGAAAUUGAAUGGAGAUCAAUAAACCAGUGAAAGGUUUUGUAAUGUAUAAUGGCGGAAAGCAUAUCUAACUGAAAGACUAAGAAGUCGAACAGAUACGUAAGUAGGGCAUAGUGACCCCUCGCUAUAACAUGGAAUAGACGGGGAUCAAUCGAUAAAAGUUACGCUAGGGAUAACAGGCUGAUAGCCGGCGAGAGUACACAUUGUCCCGGCUGUUUGGCACCUCGAUGUCGACUCAUCCUAUCCUCCAGGUGUAGAAGCUUGGAAGGGUUCGGCUGUUCGCCGAUUAAAAGGGUACGCGAGUUGGGUUUAAUACGACGUGAGUCAGUAUGGUCCCUAUCUUCUGAAGAUAUAAAUAGUAAAAAAGGGAAGACCUUCUAGUACGAAAGGAUCAAUAGGCUGUGUUUCUCUAGUGCACCAAUUGUUAAAUUUAAUUAAUUAAAUAAGCAUAGUUGGGUAGCCACAAACAUAUUAGAUAAUCGCUGAAUGUAUAUAAAGCAAGAAACUAACCCUUAGAUACUAUCUUAAAUUUAUUUCUAUUAUUUUUAUAAAAUAAUAUUUCUUUUUAAAUUAUUAAUCCAUAAUAUUUUUUAAAGAAAUGAAAUAAUAUUUAAAUUUAUAAGAAAU
rnacentral:rRNA from 2 species